CGCAAUAGUGUGGGGAUUUUUUUCGAUGCUGGCUUAUAAAGUCGCCUAUUAAUUAUUUGUUGCGUUUACUAAGCCAAUAAGUGUAAUACGCAACAGCACAGC
rnacentral:antisense_RNA from 1 species